rnacentral:lncRNA from 1 species
AAAAAAUACACUUAAACUGAAUAUAUGUGAAUUGUUUAAGAUUAAAUGUUAAUGAUAUACCUAAUACUUCGUACACGACCUAAAAACACUUUCAUUUAUGAAUAAAGAUAAGAAAUGUCGCAUUUUUAUAUUGUAACACCACUGACUCUUCAGUAACUGCAAUGACACAAAAGUAUCACCAUUGACAUCACAUAUCAAAUUUUACCUAUAUCAAGUACUGCACACAAAGCCAAGAUCACCGGGCA